GAUGAACGCUGGCGGCGUGCCUAAUACAUGCAAGUCGAGCGAAUGGAUUGAGAGCUUGCUCUUAUGAAGUUAGCGGCGGACGGGUGAGUAACACGUGGGUAACCUGCCCAUAAGACUGGGAUAACUCCGGGAAACCGGGGCUAAUACCGGAUAACAUUUUGAACCGCAUGGUUCGAAAUUGAAAGGCGGCUUCGGCUGUCACUUAUGGAUGGACUCGCGUCGCAUUAGUUAGUUGGUGGGGUAACGGCUCACCAAGGCAACGAUGCGUAGCCGACCUGAGAGGUUGAUCGGCCACACGGGGACUGAGACACGGCCAAGACUCCUACGGGAGGCAGCAGUAGGGAAUCUUCCGCAAUGGACGAAAGUCUGACGGAGCAACGCCGCGUGAGUGAUGAAGGCUUUCGGGUCGUAAAACUCUGUUGUUAGGGAAGAACAAGUGCUAGUUGAAUAAGCUGGCACCUUGACGGUACCUAACCAGAAAGCCACGGCUAACUACGUGCCAGCCGCCGCAGUAA
rnacentral:rRNA from 1 species